rnacentral:sRNA from 1 species
GUUCGAAUCCUGCACGACCCACCAAUUUCAGCAUUUAACUCAGAUGCUGAACGUGAAGGAUAACGUUGCGACAGCAACGGCCCGAAGGGCGAGGCGAAGUCGAGUCAUCCUGCACGACCCACCA